rnacentral:tRNA from 1 species
GACGAGUUGGCCUAGUGGUUGGGCGACGGCCUGUUAAGCCGUGAGUGAAAACUCAAGGAAGGUUCAAAUCCUUCACUCGUCGCCA